AAGUCGUAACAAGGUUUCCGUAGGUGAACCUGCGGAAGGAUCAUUCAUAAUAAGUGUUUUAUGGCACUUUUUAAAUCCAUAUCCACCUUGUGUGCAAUGUCAGUCGGUUUUCUUUUUCGUCAAGAAAAAAAGGAUCGACCAAACAUCAACUUAUUCUAAUUGAACUUUUGUCUGAAAACUAUUAUGAAUAAACUAAUUCAAAAUACAACUUUCAACAACGGAUCUCUUGGCUCUCGCAUCGAUGAAGAACGCAGCGAAAUGCGAUACGUAACGUGAAUUGCAGAAUUCAGUGAAUCAUCGAAUCUUUGAACGCAUAUUGCGCUCUUUGGUAUUCCGAAGAGCAUGCUUGUUUGAGUAUCAGUAAACACCUCAAAACUCUUGAUCUUUUUCAAGCGUUUUGGACUUGAGCAAACCCAACGCCUUUUCUUUUAAGAUCUGUUGCGGCGGGUUGCUUGAAAUGCAGGUGCAGCUGGACAAUCUCCUGAGCUAAAAGCAUAUUUAUUUAGUCCCGUCAAACGGAUUAUUACUUUUUGCUGCAGCUAACAUAAAGGGAGUUUUGACCAUUAUGGCUGACUGAUGCAGGAUUUCACAGAGAAAAGGCCGGCAACGGUUUUGUCUCUGUCAAACUCGAUCUCAAAUCAAGUAAGACUACCCGCUGAACUUAA
rnacentral:rRNA from 1 species